rnacentral:misc_RNA from 1 species
UUGCCUCUCGAAAAACACGACCGUUGCACACGUGACAGAAUGCUGUCGGGGAGGUGCUUGUUGCCUCCUCGGCCCCACCGGCCUCGUCCCUCUAGCCCUUCGGGCGAGUUGGAUGCUGGCCGGAAUACGGCGCGGGAUGACGCCAAGGAACACGAUAAAAGCUAAGGCACCGGCUAGCCGUCAAAGGGCUUGCAUCGGGUGCCGAGGCCAAUGAAAAA